rnacentral:rRNA from 1 species
AUUGAACGCUGGCGGCAGGCCUAACACAUGCAAGUCGAGCGACCGGCGGACGGGUGAGGAAUGUCUGGGAAACUGCCUGAUGGAGGGGGAUACCUACUGGAAACGGUAGCUCAUCCCGCAUACCAUCAGACCUGCCCAGAUGGGAUUAGCUAGUAGGUGGGAUAACGGCGCACCUAGCCGACGAUCCCUAGCUGGUCUGAGAGGAUAACCAGACACACUGGAACUGAGACACGGUCCAGACUCCUACGGGAGGCAGCAGUGGGGAAUAUUGCACAAUGGGCGCAAGCCUGAUGCAGCCAUGCCGCGUGUGUGAAGAAGGCCUUCGGGUUGUAAAGCACUUUCAGCGGGGAGGCGUUACCCGCAGAAGAAGCACCGGCUAACUCCGUGCCAGCAGCCGCGGUAAUUC